rnacentral:rRNA from 1 species
GACUAACGCUAGCGGCGUGCUUAACACAUGCAAGUCGAACGAGAAAGGGACUUCGGUCCUGAGUAAAGUGGCGCACGGGUGAGUAACGCGUAGGUAAUCUACCCCUGUGUUCGGGACAACAUCGGGAAACUGGUGCUAAUACCGGAUACGUUUCACAGAUAGCGAUAUAAGUGAAGGAAAGAUGGCGACCCUUCGGGGGCUAUUGCACGGGGAUGAGCCUGCGUACCAUUAGCUAGUUGGCAGGGUAAGGGCCUACCAAGGCGACGAUGGUUAGCGGGUCUGAGAGGAUGAUCCGCCACACUGGAACUGGAACACGGUCCAGACUCCUACGGGAGGCAGCAGUGAGGAAUUUUGCACAAUGGGGGAAACCCUGAUGCAGCGACGCCGCGUGAGCGACGAAGGCCUUCGGGUCGUAAAGCUCUGUCAGCAGGGAAGAAAUGUAUCAUGGCUAAUAUCCAUGGUACUUGACGGUACCUGCAAAGGAAGCACCGGCUAACUCCGUGCCAGCAGCCGCCGCCGUAA